GACCCCUUAGCUCAGUGGUAGAGCGUGUGAUUCCAGUCUGUAUGUAAUCAAGUGUUUUCAAGGUUUCCACAAGGUCAAGCGUUCAACUCGCUUAGGGGUCA